rnacentral:rRNA from 1 species
CCUACGGGAGGCAGCAGUGAGGAAUAUUGGUCAAUGGACGAGAGUCUGAACCAGCCAAGUAGCGUGAAGGAUGACUGCCCUAUGGGUUGUAAACUUCUUUUAUAAAGGAAUAAAACGAGGCACGUGUGCCUUUUUGCAUGUACUUUAUGAAUAAGGAUCGGCUAACUCCGUGCCAGCAGCCGCGGUAAUACGGAGGAUCCGAGCGUUAUCCGGAUUGAUUGGGGUUAAAGGGAGCGUAGAUGGGUUGUUAAGUCAGUUGUGAAAGUUUGCGGCUCAACCGUAAAAUUGCAAUUGAUACUGGCAGUCUUGAGUACAGUUGAGGUAGGCGGAAUUCGUGGUGUAGCGGUGAAAUGCUUAGAUAUCACGAAGAACCCCGAUUGCGAAGGCAGCUUACUAAACUGUGACUGACAUUGCUGCUCGAAAGUGUGGGUAUCAAACAGGAUUAGAUACCCUUGUAGUC